GCUAUUCCAGCUUCUUGCUUUCAUUAUUCUACUGUAUCUUUAUUACUAUUCAAUUAGUUAUCAGAUCUGGAUUCUUUGCUUCUAGCCGUUGCUUGUUGUGCAACACGACGGUGACUUUACCCUUUAUUCCGGUCUGAACCAGAAACCCCACUUGGAUAAUCAACAAAUCCCAUAUCUUGAAUCCACUCUCCAACCCAGAUGAAGAAGCUUCGAAAUGCUUGAAAUACGGUGGUGUUACCAAGACACGAAUUCUUCGCAACCGGGUCACCUUUAAAUAAACGGAUCUAUCAGAAGACAUGGAAUUCUGGGUGGUUGCAGCAGCUACUGGUGCUGGUUAUUGAUUUCUAGCCGUUACUCUGCCCGAUUUGUUGCUCAUAAUCUGAUUUUAGUUGGUUUACUCAACUAUAAUCAUGGGAAAGCCAUCAAAUGUUCAGUUCGAGCCAUUGCACAACAUCUGUUGUGUAUAUGAUGAGAAUCUUUCAAAGAUGGCAAAUUUCAAGAGUAUUCUGGAAUUCAUGAAGAGAUUACCUAUACAAAAAGCUUUAACGAAUCAACAUCUGGUUUUUCAGUCCCACAUUGAACGUUUCUGGGAGAAUGCCACAUAUGACAAAGAAAGUAAAACAAUCAAUUCUAUUGUGAGCAUGAACGGCCAAGAUAAACCAAUAAUCAUCACAGAGCAGCUUGUACGUGAGGUGAUAAACUUUCCGGAUGAUGAAAAUUCUCCGACAAAGUUCCCAGAGAGGAUGGUCAAAGGUUGCAUGUUGCGGAUGGGUUACAAUGGUCCACUAAACAAGGCUAACUACUUGAAAGCGUGUUUCCCAAAGCCUUACAAGUUUCUUAUUCAUUCAGUGUUGCAUGCUCUUAGUCACCGAAAAGGAGGUUAUGAUACAAUGCGGGAUUAUCAGAUGAAUAUGGUGACGGCACUUGUGCUAAACAAGAAGUAUAACUUUUCAAAGAUUGUGUUCCAUUACAUGGUAGAAAAUAUCACUUCGAAAAGCAAGACUUGGGUUUAUCCACGAUUUGUUCAAAUGAUACUAGAUCAUGCUUAUCCGGAUCUUGAAAGAGAUGAAAAUAAUGAUUUGUUGGUUUUAGACCAUAUGAAUAAUGGAAUGCUGAAACAACUUCCUAAAUAUCACCCAAGCCAUCCAGAGCCAUCAACAAAAGCUGAAUUCUUUGGGUUUAUCAAGGAUAAAAAUUACGUUGAUCCAGAUCCAGUUGAACAUCAGAAAUGGAGAAAUGAAAAAGAAAUGAAAGAAGCAAGUUAUGCUAAUGAGUUGAAAAUACUUGCAGAUUUCAAAGAAUCAAGAAAUGAAUGGUUUCUGAAGGAAGAGAAAAAGAAAAGAAGAAGGAAAGCAACUCCAAAAGUUCAAGUAGAGCAGGGUUCAUCUUCUCAGCCAAAGAAAAAGCGUCAAAGAAGAGUUGUUGAGACUAUGCUUGUUGAUGAAUCAGAUAAAGAAGAUGAAGCUGAAGCUAAUGUUGAAGGAGAUGUUCGUUUGUCUCCUGAAUCUGCAAAGUUUUUGGAAUCUCUUAAUAAAUCUAAUGCUGAAAAAGAAAAGGCAGCUGGUGAUGAAGAAGGUGAUGAUGUAGAUAAAAGCUCAUCAAGCUCGUCUGAUGAAGAUAUUGAUGAAACUGAACGUGCGAAGAGAAUUAGAGCUGAGAUUGAAAAAGAGAAACAACUAAAGAGAAGAGAGGAGAAAGAGGAUGAUCCAUAUAUUCCAUCUCCUGAGCAUGUUAUUGAAUCUCAAACACCUCCAUCAUCUGGUGGCAGGAAGAAAGCAAGUGCAAGAAAUCGAGUCGUUACUCCUAGUGCAGCUAGAAGAAAGUUGAUUGUGAAGUUGCCUAAACGUACACCAAAAUCAAAACCACCUACACCACCAAAACAGCCCACACCACCACCAUCACCAUCACCACCACCUGAACCACAACAACAACCAUCACCAAUCCAAUCACCACUUCACCAAUCACCUUCAAGACAACCUACACCACAAAUUCAUUCAUCACCACUACAUCUUUCACCACUACAUCUUUCACCACCACAUCAAACACCUAUCCAAGAACAACCUGUUGUUACUUCACAACAAAUCUUUCAACCACCUGUCCAAACUACACCUGGAUCUUCUGGAUACAAAACUUUUCCACAAGUUCCGGAGGGUAUUACUCUUGAAGAGACUGGAGAUUUUGGUAUUGCGAAUGAUGAGCAAGUAAAGAGGUUGGAAAUGGAAGAAGUAUUGGUUGAUAACAAAAGGUUGGUAGACCGUGAGAAGAAAUUGGAAAAGCGUGUUAAGUCUGUGGAAGCUGAAAAUUCUUCAUUGUUAAAGAAAAUUGAAGCUAAUCAGGCUGAAAUUGAUAUUCUUAAAGUGAAAGUUGCUAAGUUAGAGGAAGAGAAAGCACGCAAAGACGAGCAAAACAAGUAUUUUGAACUGAAGAAUAAAGAGUUAGAGGCUGCCAAAGCAAUGAAAGAGCAUGAGAUAUAUAUGAUGAACAAAGUGUUAGAGAAUUUGCUUGGAAAGUCAGUUGAACAGAAGUUUGAAGAAAUUAAGAUUGAAGAAGUUAGAGCUCGUCGUCAAGAGCCUGAAGUUGAGGAAGGUGAAAUCAGGCAUACUUACACUAUGAAUGAUAUUAUCAAGAUGACGCGGCGACGACAUGGUUCCUUUGUUCCUCGGGGUUACAAUCGGCAUACUAUCAACUAUUGUGAGUAAUCAGCGGGAAAUUGAGCAUCUAAAUGAGCUACUGGAACAAGCUGAGAAUAUGGUUAAAGAUUUACACAAUAAACUUGAAAUGAAAGAUGGGUUUGAUACCACAAAUGAGCAUGCUACCGAGUCAGACGUGCCUGCGAACUAUAGCCCAGAAGCCAAAAAUUUUGAGUUAACAAGUGACAUUGAAGCAGAGCUUGAGGCCGAGCUUGAGAGGUUAGAAGAAAAUGCACAGAGUUCGUGUAGCGUACCGGAGAAUUACUCAGACUUUGAGGCAGACAUAGUUAUAGGAGACUUGAACCUAGAUACGCUCACAUGGCAACUCGAUAGCCAAUCGGAAUCCGACCAUGAUGACAAAUGGGUCAAAAGUGAAAGCACUGGGAAGCCCGACCUCACUCCGAAUUACACUGUUUCACCCCUUGAUUUGCGGUUACGUCUUCAUGAAGUAAUCGAGUUAGAACUCAGAGCUCGUAUCGAGGAGCUUGAGGCAGUUCUUGAGGGAAAAAGUGGUCAAACUCAUCCGGACUCUCCAGAACCGGAAGAAGAUAACUCUUUCUGGGACUUUGACCACACAAGAAUUGAAUCUUCUUCUUCAACUCCUUAAUCUGCACAAAAGAUCAUAAAGUACAGCCAUAGAAGCAGAAUGUAGAACUGCAAAGAUAAUGUAGAACUUAUAUUGUAAUCUAUUUUUAUGAAAAGAAUGUAUAGAAGAAAAACUUUCUUGUGUUUGUAAUAUACAGGAUUCCACA